rnacentral:lncRNA from 1 species
GAAUUCCUGGUGGGGUAGUGAGGCCCUCUCUUGCCCUGUUCAUGUCUGAUUCGUUACCUACUGUAACACUGCCACAGCCACUCAUCAAAACCAAGUUGUAUGAAGUGGCAGAUUCUUCCUAGGGUGUCUGGACAGCCAUGACCUGCUCCUUUGGUCACCUCCCGAACUCCAAGAUGAGUUUCAAGAGCCACAUGUCUAUGAGACCCUCCUACCUGGACUUAGCUGACUGCAGCAGGAGGGACAUGUGAUCCAAGCUGGAGCACACAGAAUCUCUCUCCUGGGAUGUGGAGCUGAGAGACACUGAGAUCAGGAGAUGGGAGCUGAUUCCUAUUAAUGACAGGUCUGGAGCGAAGAACUGCUGGAGAUAAAAGCAAAUGUCUUAGAAGAGCAAGUGUGACAUGUGGUACGCUAUCAGGAAUAAAUCUCUUCCUGCCAAGCAAGACUGUAAGGCAAUCUGGAACCAGUUACUAAACAAACUUGUUUUAUUUCAAAACAGAAUCACCUGACUUACUUUUCUAUUUAUUUCUUGUCUUGAAUUCUUUUUUGAUAUCAAGAUGCUACUAAUGAAACACAGUGGACCCGAAUUUUCCAGGUUGGUGGGAGGGGAUCUGUGGCUGCGCCCUGCAUGAAGUCUGGAGAGAGACUCUAAGAAGAAUACUUGGAAAGCUUGUUCUGCAAGCUCCUACCCCUUGAUUUUGCUUCCUGCUCGUCUCUGGAUCAGGAUGAAGGAUGUUGUCCUUCCUUCCUUCAACCCAUGUUUGUGGAGAUUCUGAUAUGUGGCAGGCACCGGCUUACAUUUGGAUUCAAGCUUUGAUCUGGCUACACUUCAAGGACCUUAGCUUAGAUUCAGCCUUAAAACAGUCCACUUUGAGAAGGUCCCAGGUAAGUUUGGGCACAAUAGUAGGUCUGAUGGGCUUUUCCAUCUGGAAUAUUUAUUCAAUAAGAAAAUCAUUCACAAAUGUGCUGGAAAGUAUGGAGCUGGC